UACAGAGGGUGCGAGCGUUAAUCGGAAUUACUGGGCGUAAAGCGCGCGUAGGCGGCUUUGCAAGUCGGGUGUGAAAUCCCCAGGCUUAACCUGGGAACUGCAUUCGAGACUGCAUUGCUAGAGUAUGGGGGAGGGAAGUGGAAUUUCCGGUGUAGCGGUGAAAUGCGUAGAUAUCGGAAGGAACAUCAGUGGCGAAAGCGACUUCCUGGACCAAUACUGACGCUCAUGUGCGAAAGCGUGGGGAGCAAACAGG
rnacentral:rRNA from 1 species